rnacentral:tRNA from 1 species
GGGGUUAUAGCUCAGCUGGGAGAGCGCUUGAAUGGCAUUCAAGAGGUCAGGGGUUCGAAUCCCCUUAGCUCCACCA